AGUGAACGCUGGCGGUAGGCCUAACACAUGCAAGUCGAACGGCAGCACAGUAAGAGCUUGCUCUUACGGGUGGCGAGUGGCGGACGGGUGAGGAAUACAUCGGAAUCUACUUUUUCGUGGGGGAUAACGUAGGGAAACUUACGCUAAUACCGCAUACGACCUACGGGUGAAAGCAGGGGAUCUUCGCACCUUGCGCGAUUGAAUGAGCCGAUGUCGGAUUAGCUAGUUGGCGGGGUAAAGGCCCACCAAGGCGACGAUCCGUAGCUGGUCUGAGAGGAUGAUCAGCCACACUGGAACUGAGACACGGUCCAGACUCCUACGGGAGGCAGCAGUGGGGAAUAUUGGACAAUGGGCGCAAGCCUGAUCCAGCCAUACCGCGUGGGUGAAGAGGGCCUUCGGGUUGUAAAGCCCUUUUGUUGGGAAAGAAAAGCAGCAGGUUAAUACCCCGCUGUUCUGACGGUACCCAAAGAAUAAGCACCGGCUAACUUCGUG
rnacentral:rRNA from 1 species